ACACCUCAACUCGUUGUGGUUUUCCACGAUGAGCUUGGACUUUGGGGGUUUUGCUGGCCUACGGUCGGCUCCUCUAAAAUAAAUCAGCUUACCAGUGUUUGGUGGGUAUCAUGGGUGUGAUAACUAUCUACGCUUAUGGUUUUUCCACCAGGUAACCUUCAUCAGUGGAGGUUCAUUGGAGCUCAUAGAUGUCUCUCCUCAGUGAGGACAGCCCUUUGAAU
rnacentral:misc_RNA from 1 species